rnacentral:rRNA from 1 species
UCCGUAGGGGGCAAGCGUUGUCCGGAAUCAUUGGGCGUAAAGCGCGUGUAGGCGGCCCGGUAAGUCCGCUGUGAAAGUCGGGGGCUCAACCCUCGGAUGCCGGUGGAUACUGUCGGGCUCGAGUACGGAAGAGGCGAGUGGAAUUCCUGGUGUAGCGGUGAAAUGCGCAGAUAUCAGGAGGAACACCAAUUGCGAAGGCAGCUCGCUGGGACGUAACUGACGCUGAGACGCGAAAGCGUGGGGAGCAAACAGG